rnacentral:rRNA from 1 species
CCCUUAGAUGUCCUGGGCCGCACGCGCGCUACAAUGACUCACUCAGAAAGUUUUUCCUGAUCCGGAAGGAUUCGGGUAAUCUUCAUAGCAUGAGUCGUGUUAGGGAUCGAUCUUUGCAAUUAUAGAUCUUGAACGAGGAAUGCCUAGUAAGUGCAGCUCAUCAGGCUGUACUGAUUACGUCCCUGCCCUUUGUACACACCGCCCGUCGCUCCUACCGAUUGAGUGGUCCGGUGAACCUUCUGGAUUAAGCAGCAAUGCUUGAGAAGUUAGGUAAACCUUAUCACUUAGAGGAAGGAGAAGUCGUAACA